CUACUCUUGACAUCCUGCGAACUUGUGAGAGAUCACUUGGUGCCUUCGGGAACGCAGAGACAGGUGCUGCAUGGCUGUCGUCAGCUCGUGUUGUGAAAUGUUGGGUUAAGUCCCGUAACGAGCGCAACCCUUGUCCUUAUUUGCCAGCGCGUAAUGGCGGGAACUCUAAGGAGACUGCCGGUGACAAACCGGAGGAAGGUGGGGACGACGUCAAGUCAUCAUGGCCCUUACGAGUAGGGCUACACACGUGCUACAAUGGCCGGUACAAAGGGUUGCUAGCUCGCGAGAGUCAGCUAAUCCCGAAAAGCCGGUCUCAGUCCGGAUCGGAGUCUGCAACUCGACUCCGUGAAGUCGGAAUCGCUAGUAAUCGUGAAUCAUAAUGUCACGGUGAAUACGUUCCCGGGCCUUGUACACACCGCCCGU
rnacentral:rRNA from 1 species